UACAGAGGCGGCAAGCGUUGUUCGGAUUUACUGGGCGUAAAGGGUGCGUAGGCGGUUCCGCAUGUCGGAUGUGAAAUCUCACUGCUCAACGGUGGAAUGGCAUUCGAAACUGCGGGGCUGGAGUACAGGAGAGGAGAGCGGAAUUCCUGGUGUAGCGGUGAAAUGCGUAGAUAUCAGGAGGAACACCGGUGGCGAAGGCGGCUCUCUGGACUGAUACUGACGCUGAGGCACGAAAGCUGGGGGAGCAAACAGGAUUAGAUACCCCGGUAGUCC
rnacentral:rRNA from 1 species